rnacentral:lncRNA from 1 species
GCAUACGAGCAGGUCCAGAAGGGCCCCCUGAAGCUGAAAGGCGUGGCGGAGCUCGGCGUGACGAAGCGGAAGAAGAAGAAGAAGGACAAAGACAAGGCCAAGAUGCUGGAGGCCAUGGGGACGAGCAAGAAGAACGAGGAGGAGAAGAGGCGCUGCCUGGACAAGCGCACGCCGGCGCAGGCGGCCUUCGAAAAGAUGCAGGAGAAGCGGCAAAUGGAAAGAAUCCUGAAGAAGGCAUCAAAAACCCACAAACAGAGAGUGGAGGUGAGCCCUGCAUCUGUCGGCAGGCUGAGCGCGGGGGUGGCCAGAGCCCAGGCAUGGCUUGAGUGCCUCGAAGCCUAUGGUGGAGUGUGUGAGAUGGGCUGCGUGCAGGCGGGGAUACUGCCUAUCUGGUUCACACUGAUGUGGUCUGUUUUCCACAGGACUUCAACCGACACCUGGACACACUCACCGAGCACUAUGACAUCCCCAAAGUCAGCUGGACCAAGUAACCUAGCCCUGCUGCAGAAGGCAGAAGGCUGGACUGUUUGACACCUGGUCGGCGCAUCUGCUGAAACCAGGCUUUCUGAGACUUGAUUAAAGCCAGGCUGUCCUUUCACUGGGUCUUGGUUUUGGGGUAGUUCCCUUUCCAGUUCGGACAACAGCACUGUGGAUUGACAUGCUGAGGUCAUUUCUGGG